rnacentral:rRNA from 1 species
UACAGAGGUCUCAAGCGUUGUUCGGAUUCAUUGGGCGUAAAGGGUGCGUAGGCGGCGCGGUAAGCCGGGUGUGAAAUCUCGGAGCUUAACUCCGAAACUGCAUUCGAUACUGCCGUGCUUGAGGACUGGAGAGGAGACUGGAAUUUACGGUGUAGCGGUGAAAUGCGUAGAUAUCGUAAGGAAGACCAGUGGCGAAGGCGGGUCUCUGGACAGUUCCUGACGCUGAGGCACGAAGGUCAGGGGAGCAAACGGG